GCUUUCCUUUUCUGGUAAAGGCCAAAUGUACUAUUCUCUAUGCUUUAUAUUUUUGUAGUUCCUUUGUUUCCAUGCUUGUUUUUUGAUGGGGUGUAAAUAUAUGCUUUUUUGUUCCUUGUCUGGAUUCAGGUAGGGCCUAACAUUAUUGUUCCUUUGUGCAUGGAAAUGUUGGUGGUUUUGUUCCUUUGUGUAUGGAAGGGGGCCUUGAUUAGAAUUUCUAACGUUUGAGUUGUAAUUAGUGUUUUUGUUACACAUGAAAACAUAUGGUUGUUUGUCCAAUCACAUAUGAAAAAGAGAGGAUUGUUUGUCCAACAAUUUUCUUUCUCUGUGAUAGUUUUACUACAAAUAAAGCAUAGUCACUAUUACAUCCUAUUUUAUAUCUUGUUGUGUCGUGAUGUCUGUAUAGACUCUGUCUACGUCCUUUUGACAUUCCAAGUUUUGUUUUUCUAUGGCUCAAUUAGUUACCCCGUAUCAAGAGAAAUUUAACUGGUAUUUGCGGUAGAGUUAGCUGAAUUCAUGAAGCAAUGAUUUAGUUAUUAUUAAAGCUGAAACACAACAUGUUUUGACAAAUGCGUUCUAAGUAAAGCCUCCAACUAACAUAACCAAAAACAUAUUCUUUAGGUUUAUCAUCUAUUGAAGUAUUAUGUAGAAUUUAAAAUCAUACGAGGCAAAGCAAAUGAGCUCUAUGCACUUUCCAUGUAGCACAGAACAAAAAUAAUCAUGUAUAUUUUGGAUGCACCUAGAUAUACUCAUCAGCAAGGCUGAGGUUAUAGGGCACUCACCCACAUUGUCGAUAUCUCCGUCACUAUGAUCACCCACAUGAUGGACAAUUCCCUUCUUUCUUUUCUCUGUGGCUAUUGACACUUAAUGCUAUUACUGUGUGCAUAUAUGUACUGUGAUCCAUUCUCAUUCUUCAUAUCUUGAGAAACUAUCUCAAGAUACUCGCGUUUGUGUUUUGGAGAAAGCCUAUUCUAUGAUUAAUAUAUCGAGUAUGGAUGGCGCGAUAUCACCUCUCUUUAUGAUGAUGUUCUUACAGAAUAUAGGUUUUAUGGUAACACGUCUUAGCCAACACCUAUACUGAUGCUCAGACCAGAUGAUUAUAGUCUCUCCUUGCUAUUUUUCUUGAGAUCUGAGGAAGGAGGGGAGGAAUAAUCUCGCGGGAGAGUUCGGUGCAGAGGAAGAAGAACAAGAUAUUAUUUAUUUCUUGUGAACAGUCAAGCUUGUGCAUUGUCCCACUUUCUGGGGCCAGGCAACCUUGAAUCCAACGUCCACCUGCAGGCUACAUCUCAGAAAACUCAUGAACAUCAUGGCGCCUUGUUGAUGGGGUGAUCAAUAGCUACUAUAUUGGGACCCUGCACUUAAAUUGUAGGUCUGAUUUUGUUUUGGAGUUCUCCUGCUACCCACAAGCUCAGAUAGUUCUUUUGUUUGUGCAGGGCAAAUUGCAAAGCAUAUUAUGAAUUGUUACAAGAAACUAUUUCCGCUGUUUUGGUGCAACGAUGUUGCUUUUUAGUAUGCUUCCCGUAUCUUGGUAUCUUGGAAUAAUAAACAGAUAGAUGUCGUGUACCAAGAUUGUUCCUUGUUGUUAAGAGGGAUACAAAUAUUAUACAAGAAUUUUUCUGAUGACUCCUAAAGCAUAUUUGGAUA